AACCCUGAUGGCGAGCGGCGAACGGGUGAGUAAUAUAUCGAGACGUACCUAAUAGAGGGGGAUAACUCAUCGAAAGAUGAGCUAAUACCGCAUAAUCUCUGAGGAGGAAAGGUGGGGACCAGCAAUGGCCUGCCGUUGUUAGAGCGAUCGAUACCCCGAUUAGCUAGUUGGUGAGGUAAAGGCUCACCAAGGCGAUGAUCGGUAGCUGUUCUGAGAGGAAGAUCAGCCACACUGGGACUGAGACACGGCCCAGACUCC
rnacentral:rRNA from 1 species